GACGAACGCUGGCGGCGUGCUUAACACAUGCAAGUCGAACGGAGUGGCGAACGGGUGAGUAACACGUGGGUGAUCUGCCUUGCACUUCGGGAUAAGCUUGGGAAACUGGGUCUAAUACCGGAUAGUGCAAGAUGAGCUCGCGGCCUAUCAGCUUGUUGGUGGGGUAAUGGCCUACCAAGGCGUCGACGGGUAGCCGGCCUUAGAGGGUGUACGGCCACAUUGGGACUGAGAUACGGCCCAGACUCCUACGGGAGGCAGCAGUGGCGAGUAUUGCGCAAUGGGCGGAAGCCUGAUGCGGCGGCGUCGGGUGUGGAAUGGAGGCCUUGGGGUUGUAAACGCCUUUCGAUAGGGACGCGGUACCUGUAUAAGAAGCACCGGCUAACUACGUGCCAGUAGCCGCGGUAAUUC
rnacentral:rRNA from 1 species